GGCCUUUAUAGGAUACCACAAAAUAAUGACUCCUAAAUAAACUUUUGUUCUAAGUGAAAAGAAAUAUUCUUGUAGUCUAUUUGUAGCGGAUAUCAAAAUAGUCGAAGUACAAGAAAUUUAGUACUACUCGAAUAAAAUAGAGAUGGAUCCAAGUUAUAAUUUUGUUUUCUUCUUGAAAACAAAUAGACGCAAUAUAAAUUGAAAAUGUGACUUAUUACAAUGUGGAAUUAAGUAGUCAUAUCCUUCCACAACUAGCCUUUGUUUUAAAGCCAAAUUACAUAUCUAGGAAUGGUAACAAAGGUUAUCAAAUCCCAUAUAAUCUUGGUUCUCCAGCUUCUCAAUCAUAUUUGCUAUCCCCACACCACCUGCCAAUUAUCCAACAUAACAUACAUAUGGUUAUUUUUAAGGCCAGAAAAUAGAAAGAAGCAAUUGGCAGGAUGAAAACUGAUAUAUACCUAAGCUGAUUGCACUGGUAAAUAUUGUCAUGGCCAGUAUGAAUG
rnacentral:lncRNA from 1 species